UGCGUAGGCGGAAUAUUAAGUCAGUGGUGAAAUCCUGCGGCUCAACCGUAGAACCGCCAUUGAUACUGAUAUUCUUGAAUGUAGUUGAGGUAGGCGGAAUGUGUAGUGUAGCGGUGAAAUGCUUAGAUAUUACACAGAACACCGAUUGCGAAGGCAGCUUACUAAACUAUGAUUGACGCUGAGGCACGAAAGCGUGGGGAGCGAACAGGAUUAGAUACCCUGGUAGUCC
rnacentral:rRNA from 1 species